GUGGGAAACUGAUCCCGGUGCCUGAAGGGAGGAAGCGGUGGGGCUCUGGGCUUAAGUUCAGCUGCACAGCCAGUCGUGAUGAUGGCAAUGUGACACUCAGUUUGUCAUGGAGAACUGGCACCUGUUACUUACUGCCUUACUUCUUGGAUUUGCAAGUUGCCGUGGCUGUGCUCUGGUUUUCUCCUGGAACUUUGUGUUUGCUGGAGAGGGAGAGGCCACUCAGCAGUGGACAGCCCACAGAGGGGUUCUGGCCAAGGUCCUGGGAGGGAACCAGGGUGUGUCACCGUCAGUGUGACGCACAGGCUUAUGGGAGGAAGCAGUGGCCCUUCACCCACAAACUUCAGGGGACAUCUGAGAACGGGACUUUCUCUUUCCUUCCACACAGUGUGAUGGCCUCAGUCAGAACAACUGUCAGAGAUGCCGCCCUCUCCCGUGUCCAUAGCCACGCUUGGUCGUGUGUCUCAGGAAAGGCCUGUAUGGUUAUUACCUGAAUUAAAUAAGAACUGUGGCAUGAGUGAAGAGUACAUCUGGGUUGUUUUGAGUCACUGAGAUUGGGGGUUGCUAUAGCAGUCACUGCGAACAAGCAUCCACAGGCACCCGUGGCUUCUCUUCACUAGAUGAUACGUUUCUGGAAGACGGCAUCAAUUCAAAUCACAUAAAUACUUCCCAGGUCAUCCCAGUUAGAGCAAGAACACCUGUAACACGAAUAAAACCUGAUAUUAGGGUUCAAACUUCAAGCUGAAGAUCAGAAAAGCAAAGCACCCAGCCACUAGCUCUCACCUCGGACUCAGGUUGAAAGGGCUGAUCCACGCAGGAGCUCUUCACCAAGUCUCAAACUGCUGCCGUCUCCUCAGUGUGGCUGGAGAACAAAUGCCUCCUACUGACUACUAAAGACCCUACUUCUAUCUUUUACACCCCUCUAGUGCUGGGAUUAAAGGCAUGUGAUCUCUGUUA